AGUAGCUUGCUACGAACUGUUUUAGCGGCGGACGGGUGAGUAACGCGUGAGCAACCUUUCCCAGACAGGGGAAUAACACACCGAAAGGUGUACUAAUACCGCAUAAGACCACGGUUUCACAUGGAACUGAGGUAAAAGAUUUAUCGGUUUGGGGUGGGCUCGCGUCCGAUUAGGUAGUUGGUGAGGUAACGGCCCACCAAGCCGACGAUCGGUAGCCGACCUGAGAGGGUGAUCGGCCACAUUGGGACUGAGACACGGCCCAAACUCCUACGGGAGGCAGCAGUGGGGAAUAUUGGGCAAUGGAGGAAACUCUGACCCAGCAACGCCGCGUGGAGGAAGAAGGUUUUCGGAUCGUAAACUCCUGUCCUUGGAGACGAGUAGAAGACGGUAUCCAAGGAGGAAGCCCCGGCUAACUACGUGCCAGCAGCCGCGGUAAUACGUAGGGGGCAAGCGUUGUCCGGAAUAAUUGGGCGUAAAGGGCGCGUAGGCGGCUCGGUAAGUCUGGAGUGAAAGUCCUGCUUUUAAGGUGGGAAUUGCUUUGGAUACUGUCGGGCUUGAGUGCAGGAGAGGUUAGUGGAAUUCCCAGUGUAGCGGUGAAAUGCGUAGAGAUUGGGAGGAACACCAGUGGCGAAGGCGACUAACUGGACUGUAACUGACGCUGAGGCGCGAAAGUGUGGGGAGCAAACAGGAUUAGAUACCCUGGUAGUCCACACUGUAAACGAUGAAUGCUAGGUGUAGGGGGUAUCGACCCCUUCU
rnacentral:rRNA from 1 species